rnacentral:rRNA from 1 species
GCGGGACACGUGGUAUCCUGUCUGAAUAUGGGGGGACCAUCCUCCAAGGCUAAAUACUCCUGACUGACCGAUAGUGAACCAGUACCGUGAGGGAAAGGCGAAAAGAACCCCGGCGAGGGGAGUGAAAAAGAACCUGAAACCGUGUACGUACAAGCAGUGGGAGCCUCUUAAUGGGGUGACUGCGUACCUUUUGUAUAAUGGGUCAGCGACUUAUAUUCUGUAGCAAGGUUAACCGAAUAGGGGAGCCGAAGGGAAACCGAGUCUUAACUGGGCGUUAAGUUGCAGGGUAUAGACCCGAAACCCGGUGAUCUAGCCAUGGGCAGGUUGAAGGUUGGGUAACACUAACUGGAGGACCGAACCGACUAAUGUUGAAAAAUUAGCGGAUGACUUGUGGCUGGGGGUGAAAGGCCAAUCAAACCGGGAGAUAGCUGGUUCUCCCCGAAAGCUAUUUAGGUAGCGCCUCGUGAAUUCAUCUCCGGGGGUAGAGCACUGUUUCGGCAAGGGGGUCAUCCCGACUUACCAACCCGAUGCAAACUGCGAAUACCGGAGAAUGUUAUCACGGGAGACACACGGCGGGUGCUAACGUCCGUCGUGAAGAGGGAAACAACCCAGACCGCCAGCUAAGGUCCCAAAGUCAUGGUUAAGUGGGAAACGAUGUGGGAAGGCCCAGACAGCCAGGAUGUUGGCUUAGAAGCAGCCAUCAUUUAAAGAAAGCGUAAUAGCUCACUGGUCGAGUCGGCCUGCGCGGAAGAUGUAACGGGGCUAAACCAUGCACCGAAGCUGCGGCAGCGACACUAUGUGUUGUUGGGUAGGGGAGCGUUCUGUAAGCCUGUGAAGGUGGCCUGUGAGGGUUGCUGGAGGUAUCAGAAGUGCGAAUGCUGACAUAAGUAACGAUAAAGCGGGUGAAAAGCCCGCUCGCCGGAAGACCAAGGGUUCCUGUCCAACGUUAAUCGGGGCAGGGUGAGUCGACCCCUAAGGCGAGGCCGAAAGGCGUAGUCGAUGGGAAACAGGUUAAUAUUCCUGUACUUGGUGUUACUGCGAAGGGGGGACGGAGAAGGCUAUGUUGGCCGGGCGACGGUUGUC